CCUUGCAGGGUGUCGGAUACU
rnacentral:miRNA from 1 species